GACGAACGCUGGCGGCGUGCUUAACACAUGCAAGUCGUACGGUAAGGCCCUUUCGGGGGUACACGAGUGGCGAACGGGUGAGUAACACGUGAGUAACCUGCCCACAACUUUGGGAUAACGCUAGGAAACUGGUGCUAAUACUGGAUAUGUGCCCCUGCUGCAUGGUGGGGGUUGGAAAGCUCCGGCGGUUGUGGAUGGACUCGCGGCCUAUCAGCUUGUUGGUGGGGUAGUGGCCUACCAAGGCGGCGACGGGUAGCCGGCCUGAGAGGGUGACCGGCCACAUUGGGACUGAGAUACGGCCCAGACUCCUACGGGAGGCAGCAGUGGGGAAUAUUGCACAAUGGGCGCAAGCCUGAUGCAGCAACGCCGCGUGCAGGAUGACGGCCUUCGGGUUGUAAACCGCUUUCAGCAGGAACGAAGCUUUUUGUGACGGUACCUGCAGAAGAAGCACCGGCUAACUACGUG
rnacentral:rRNA from 1 species